UGAUAUCAUGAGCCUACUGGACUCGAAUGAGAGUAAAAAAAGCUGAGCCAUAUCUACAACGAGAUCUCCAAGGAAUUAUUCGGAUUUGGCACAACGCUCUUGCGAGUGGAGAUUGACAAGCAGAUCAUUACCUUUCAAGCCAAGCAUCGCAGGUCGCCUCGUUCAGCAGCGUUGGAAGGUGAAGCCCCAACGCUCAAGCUGGAAGUCGAUUUCCGGAUGUCGCUUUUGUACAAAAAGAGACUCCGCGAGCGGCUGGAGGAAGAGAUGGACCAUUUAAUGAUUGCGUAAUAGCUCACUGGUCGACUGACUCUGCGCGGUAAAUGUAACGGGGCUAAACAUACCACCGAAGCUAUGGCAGUCCUUACGGACUGGGUAGGGGAGCGUUCCAGCAGCAGUGAAGCCCGUACCGGAAGGAGCGGGUGGAGCCGCUUGGAAGUUGAGAAUGCCGGUGUAAGUAGCGGAAAAGACAAGUGAGAAUCUUGUCCACCCGAAAGCCUAAGGUUUCCUGGGGAAGGCUCGUCCUCCCAGGGGUAAGUCGGGACCUAAGCUGAGGCCGAAAGGCGUAGGCGAUGGACAACAGGUUGAUAUUCCUGUACCACCUCUGUUCCGCUUGAGCAAUGGCGUGACGCAGGAGGAUAGGGUGAGCGGCCUACUGGAUGGCCGUCCCAAGCAGUGAGCCUGGUGUGUAAGGCAAAUCCGCACACUGUUAAGGGGCAAGCUGUGAUGGCGAGGGAAACAUAAGUACCGAGUCCCUCUGAUUUCCACACUGCCAAGAAAAGCGUCUAGCGAGGAACAAGGUGCCCGUACCGCAAACCGACACAGGCAGGCGAGGAGAGAAUCCUAAGGUGCGCGGGAUAACUCUUGCUAAGGAACUCGGCAAAAUGGCCCCGUAACUUCGGGAGAAGGGGCGCCCCGGUAGGGUCAGGGUCCCCGCACGACGCGAGCGUAAGCUUUGUCGGGUGGGUCCGAGCCCGAGGGGGCCGCAGUGAAAAGGCCCAAGCGACUGUUUAGCAAAAACACAGGUCUCUGCGAAGCCGCAAGGCGAAGUAUAGGGGCUGACGCCUGCCCGGUGCUGGAAGGUUAAGGGGAUGGGUUAGCGCAAGCGAAGCUUUGAACCGAAGCCCCAGUAAACGGAGGCCGUAACAAUAACGGUCCUAAGGUAGCGAAAUUCCUUGUCGGGUAAGUUCCGACCCGCACGAAAGGCGUAACGACUUGGGCGCUGUCUCGGCAAGAGACCCGGUGGAAAUCAUAAUACCUGUGAAGAUGCAGGUUACCCGCGACAAGACGGAAAGACCCCAUGGAGCUUUACUGUAGCCUGGUAUUGGAACUUUGUGCAUCAUGUACAGGAUAGGUGGGAAGCUGAGAAGCAGGGGCGCCAGCCUCUGUGGAGCUGUCGGUGGGAUACCACCCUUGAUGUACGGAGUUUCUAACUCGUCGCCCUUAUCGGGCGAGAGGACCAUGCCAGGUGGGCAGUUUGACUGGGGCGGUCGCCUCCUAAAAGGUAACGGAGGCGCCCAAAGGUUCCCUCAGAAUGGUCGGAAAUCAUUCGUAGAGUGUAAAGGCAGAAGGGAGCUUGACUGCGAGACCUACAAGUCGAGCAGGGACGAAAGUCGGGCUUAGUGAUCCGGUGGUUCCGCAUGGAAGGGCCAUCGCUCAACGGAUAAAAGCUACCCUGGGGAUAACAGGCUUAUCUCCCCCAAGAGUCCACAUCGACGGGGAGGUUUGGCACCUCGAUGUCGGCUCAUCGCAUCCUGGGGCUGAAGUAGGUCCCAAAGGGUUGGGCUGUUCGCCCAUUAAAGCGGUACGCGAGCUGGGUUCAGAACGUCGUGAGACAGUUCGGUCCCUAUCUGUCGCGGGCGCAGGAAGUUUGAGGAGAGCUGUCCUUAGUACGAGAGGACCGGGAUGGACGCACCGCUGGUGCACCAGUUGUCACGCCAGUGGCACAGCUGGGUAGCUAUGUGCGGAAGGGAUAAGCGCUGAAAGCAUCUAAGCGUGAAGCCCCCUCCAAGAUGAGACUUCCCACAGCGU
rnacentral:rRNA from 1 species